GACCCUGUAGCUCAGUGGUUAGAGCAUACGAUUGCAAUGUCUUGUAUCGUGGGGUCGCGAGUUCAAUCCUCGCUGGGGUCU